GCGUCGGCCUGUGGGCUCC
rnacentral:snRNA from 1 species